CCUACGGGGGGCAGCAGUGGGGAAUAUUGCACAAUGGGGGAAACCCUGAUGCAGCGACGCCGCGUGAGUGAGGAAGUAUUUCGGUAUGUAAAGCUCUAUCAGCAGGGAAGAAAAUGACGGUACCUGACUAAGAAGCCCCGGCUAACUACGUCCCAGCAGCCGCGGUAAUACGUAGGGGGCAAGCGUUAUCCGGAUUUACUGGGUGUAAAGGGAGCGUAGACGGAAUUGCAAGUCUGAUGUGAAAAUCCGGGGCUCAACCCCGGAACUGCAUUGGAAACUGUAUUUCUAGAGUGUCGGAGAGGCAAGUGGAAUUCCUGGUGUAGCGGUGAAAUGCGUAGAUAUCAGGAGGAACACCAGUGGCGAAGGCGGCUUGCUGGACGAUGACUGACGUUGAGGCUCGAAAGCGUGGGGAGCAAACAGGAUUAGAUACCCGGGUAGUC
rnacentral:rRNA from 1 species